rnacentral:rRNA from 1 species
CGGGUGAGUAACGCGUGGAAAACCUGCCGUAUACUGGGGGAUAACACUUAGAAAUAGGUGCUAAUACCGCAUAAGCGCACAGCUUCGCAUGAAGUGGUGUGAAAAACUCUGGUGGUAUACGAUGGUUCCGCGUCUGAUUAGCUUGUUGGCGGGGUAAUGGCUCACCAAGGCGACGAUCAGUAGCCGGCCUGAGAGGGUGAACGGCCACAUUGGGACUGAGACACGGCCCAAACUCCUACGGAAGGCAGCAG